rnacentral:rRNA from 1 species
ACAGCUCGAGCCUGAAAUCCCUGGCAGGUGCUGCCAGAGAAUUGUGGCCGGGAGAGGCGGCGGUGCCCCGACUGUUGCUGUCAAAGUUGACCUGGAAAGGCACGUCGGAGAGGGUGAGAGCCCCGUGCUCGACACCGACGGGAAGGGCCGCUACCGUCUUCGGAGAGUCGGGUUGUUUGGGAAUGCAGCCCAAAGUGGGUGGUAAACUCCAUCUAAAGCUAAAUACCGGCACGAGACCGAUAGCGAACAAGUACCAUGAGGGAAAGGUGAAAAGUACUUUGAAAAGAGAGUCAAAAAGACCGCGAAACCGUUAGGAGGGAAACGAAUGCAGCUGAAGUGGCUCCGUAUCAGGUUCAGGGGGUGUCGGCGGAUAUUCCGGGUGUGGGCAGCUAGCGCGUCCUCGCUCGGAUAGGACGUCGACUUCCCUGCACUCCCGUUGGGAGCCGGCCAACAGCGGUUGCCCGUGGCCCAGAAGGUCGGUCGGGAGGUGACUCUGCACUCGUGCAGAGAGCGUAUAGCCGUCCGUCCGGAGGUCUGGGGGCGACCGAGGAGAGUCGUGAGUCUUCACGUGUGCGGCGCAGGCCCUAGCGGGCCGGGUCGCCUCUGUCCGUUUGGGCCCCGCGACGGGGACUGCUUGCAGUGUCCGCCGACGGUCAGUCUGCUCGGUCGGGGGAUCGACCACGCCCUGCGCUCCGGUUGUUGGUGCUCAAAUGGCUGCAUCCGAC